ensembl:lncRNA
GCUUAAGCAGGAGUCCCUGGUAGAAAGACUGAAAAAUCCCUUCCCCGCUCGAUGGUGGAUUCAUAUCCUGUGCGGCCUCUAGGAAGCGCUAGACACAUCUAUCUUGGGAGGCAUACAUUUUUACCUAGACUUUUCGUGGAAGGAAAUGGUCCCAGAAAGUUCAUGCGUCUUGCUUGGGGUAUACAGACAGCUGGAAAGUGAGCUCAGGCUUGCUUCAGAAAGUCACACAUCUUCCCAUGUCACCUGACAAUACAAGGGACUUCAAGGACAUACAGAAGAACAGAGUCCUUGGUCUCUGAAUGACCCUGUGGAAGGAUACUCACUGGCCAGAAGUAGUCCUUCCAGACUUUGAAUGACAAAUCAACUUCAUUGUGCUGGUCCACUGGGAUUUUGGAGUAAAGAUGGCAAUAUCUUCUAAUUCCACUUGGUGUUUAGGAUGCCCUUCAUAAGAAGAAACCCUGGGUCAAAGUUGAGGCUUAUGUUCUGGCUUUCCCAGCUUGAAAAGAAAGAAACUUGUAUACUGUCACCUUCCUAUUGAGGGUGCAAACUUCAUGAGGUAUGUUAGUUGUGAUCCUAUCACCUGGCCCUUGAAAGAAGUCCUCUGGAAGAGCUGAGGCACAGAGAUGAUUCCCAGUGAAGCACUCAGGAAGCUGAGACAGAAGGAUAGCUACAAGUUUGAGGCCUGCCUGGUAUACACAGUGAAUGCAGUGUCUCCAAACAAACAGUGAACACAGCAAUGAAAAUAUGGAGCAUUUAACCAGAGUACUCAUUGCCUGGCACAGCAGGGAAGUCUACAGCCAUGCAGCUUAUGCCACUUCCGAUAGGACACUAAUACUCAAAGUCGUUCAUGGAGAUGUUAUUGGAUUGCGCUGGGGACCGCAGUUCCUUGAUAAUGAGUAAUUGUUUGCUCAAGCUUUAGCCAAGUGUAAAUAUAAAUAUAACCGGGAUGGUUUACCCGUCCAUUGCCAUCCAUGCACUACUGUACCGAGUGCUGUGGCUGACGUGAGAACUGAAUGCAUGGAGCUGCAAUGGUGGACUCCAGGCCUGCUUCGUCAUCGUCAGAUAUGUCAUUUAACAGCUGAGCCUCGCUUUCCUCACAUGAAAAAUGAUUGCGAUGAUUGAUAUUUACCUCAGAGAAUUUAAAUGGGACUGCCACCGUACCUAUGGGAAAGUCACUGCUGAACUGGUGACAUUUCUGUAUAUAUGUUGAGCACAGGGUCGGUCCCUGGAACAGAGCCGUUGCAUUGCAGUUGAACUUCUAGUAGCCAAGGCAAACCUCUGGACCCUCUGUGGUAGCACCAGGAUCCACCAACAGGCAACACAAGCUGAGGCCCGGAGGCUUCUGUGGGACCAUGUAUGAUUCCACUUCAUCUCCUGCAACCCUGUUGCUCUCCAAUAUGGCAAGAGGAGCAUUGGGUCUUCCUCCUUUGUUAAGACAUUUAUACCAGUUGAGCAAGAAGUCGGUGCUAGAGCGGCAGCAGCCGGUUUGGAGCGCAGUCUCUUCCUCAUGGAACCCUGGCCGGAUCACUGGUCUUCACCACCACUGUAAACUUCUAAAUUCCCUCUUGUUAAACAAAUUAGAGUGGGUUCAAGGUUAUAUUUUGAUAUUAAUAGUUUUACCCUCAUCGCCCCGUGAUCAAAGAGAAAAGGGUGAGGGGACAACUAUCAGCUGGAACUGUAGUACACUUUCCUUCUCUUACAGACCUAGUGCUUCCAAUGCGCCCUGCCUGUCUCUCCACACUCUCAAGGUCUUCUCCACUCAUCUUCUUGGCUGUGUGGAUUUGAAAACACACAGCGUUUGUCCGUAAUCUCAUCCUCAUCCACACUGACUGUGGAUAACCGGAUGUGUUUUGUGAGGCCCCUCAGUCUCAACAUGGUUUUACAGACUCGGUCCUAAGCAGGUAUCACAUUCUUACUGACCCACAGCUGCUGUGCUACUUAGGUUUGUGUCUGUUGGAAUUCCAGGGCAAAUAUUUAUAAUUAUAUCAGCUCAGAGAGUACUUCUUCUGCAUACUUCUGAGUUCAGAACCUCAGACUUUUUUCUUAAAGCUACUCAGCGUCUCACUCAGCCAGAGGAGAA